rnacentral:rRNA from 1 species
GACGAACGCUGGCGGCGUGCCUAAUACAUGCAAGUCGAACGGACGGACGAGAAGCUUGCUGCUCGGAUGUUAGCGGCGGACGGGUGAGUAACACGUGGAUAACCUCCCUAUAAGUCUGGGAUAAUUUCGGGAAACCGGAGCUAAUACCGGAUAAUAUUUUGAACCGCAUGGUUCAAAAGUGAAAGACGGUCUUGCUGUCAGUUAUAGAUGGAUCCGCGCUGCAUUGGCUGGUUGGGAAGGUAACGGCUUACCAAGGCAACGAGGCAUAGCCGACCUGAGAGGGGGAUCGGCCACACUGGAAGUGAGACAAGGUCCAGACUCCUACGGGAGGGAGCAGUAGGGAAUGUUACGCAAUGGGGGAAAGCCUGACGGAGCAGCGGCGCGUGAGUGAUGACGGUGUUCGGAUCGUAAUGCUCUGUUAUUAGGGAAGAACCUAUGUGUACGUAACUGUGGAGAGCUUGACGGUACCUAGUCAGAAAGCCACGGCUAACUACGUG